rnacentral:rRNA from 1 species
AUUGAACGCCGGCGGAAUGCUUUACACAUGCAAGUCGAACGGUAGAGGGGGCAACCCCUCGAGAGUGGCGAACGGGUGAGUAAUAUAUCGGAACGUGCCCAGUCGUGGGGGAUAACGUAGCGAAAGUUACGCUAAUACCGCAUACGAUCUAAGGAUGAAAGCGGGGGAUCGCAAGACCUCGCGCGAUUGGAGCGGCCGAUAUCAGAUUAGGUAGUUGGUGGGGUAAGGCUCACCAAGCCAACGAUCUGUAGCUGGUCUGAGAGGACGACCAGCCACACUGGAACUGAGACACGGUCCAGACUCCUACGGGAGGCAGCAGUGGGGAAUUUUGGACAAUGGACGCAAGUCUGAUCCAGCCAUUCCGCGUGCAGGAUGAAGGCCCUCGGGUUGUAAACUGCUUUUGUACGGAACGAAAAGGUCUCUCUUAAUACGGGGGACUCAUGACGGUACCGUAAGAAUAGGCACCGGCUAACUACGUGCCAGCAGCCGCCGUAA